rnacentral:rRNA from 1 species
UAGGGAAUCUUCGGCAAUGGACGGAAGUCUGACCGAGCAACGCCGCGUGAGUGAAGAAGGUUUUCGGAUCGUAAAGCUCUGUUGUAAGAGAAGAACGAGUGUGAGAGUGGAAAGUUCACACUGUGACGGUAUCUUACCAGAAAGGGACGGCUAACUACGUGCCAGCAGCCGCGGUAAUACGUAGGUCCCGAGCGUUGUCCGGAUUUAUUGGGCGUAAAGCGAGCGCAGGCGGUUAGAUAAGUCUGAAGUUAAAGGCUGUGGCUUAACCAUAGUAGGCUUUGGAAACUGUUUAACUUGAGUGCAAGAGGGGAGAGUGGAAUUCCAUGUGUAGCGGUGAAAUGCGUAGAUAUAUGGAGGAACACCGGUGGCGAAAGCGGCUCUCUGGCUUGUAACUGACGCUGAGGUUCGAAAGCGUGGGGAGCAAACAGGAUUAGAUACCCUGGUAGUCCACGCUGUAAACGAUGAGUGCUAGGUGUUAGACCCUUUCCGGGGUUUAGUGCCGUAGCUAACGCAUUAAGCACUCCGCCUGGGGAGUACGACCGCAAGGUUG